UUUGAUAUCAUUUGUUUUGUGGAGUAGUUAUAAAGAUGAGAGGUAUUAAUUUGGCUAAAUUUUGGACGAGCAAGCAUCCAAGUCGGAGCACUAUAAAUCUUCCAAAAAUAAAUAGUCGUGGGCAUUUCCGGAUUAAAAUACAAAUUACAAUUUUCCAUGGUUGUUACAUUUCUCUGUUCGAUAAUAUUUUUUACUUCCAAAACCGCAGGGAUAACACCAUUUUGAUGCAUUAUGCCGAAGAAAACUGCCAAAACAACUGCAUACAUUACAAAUAAAAAUUUGAUCCAAUAUGAACGAACUAGACAUCCAGAGUUCACUAUAAAAAUAGAGGCUGCGGGUAGCAAAAACCUGGGCUCUUGGUGAGGAAACAGGGAUAGUAUGAAAACGGGGAGAAGCCAUAACCAAGUUGCAGGUUUUCGAACGUCCCAAAGCUUUGGAACAAAAAUCAGAGGACCACAAAGGAGUGGCAUAUUAGUGAAAAAAUGUGUUAAUCUUGAGUGCAAUCCGUGCUGUGACAAAUUUUCGAUUUGAGAAUUGUAUUUUAAAUUAUUCCAAAAUGUUAUCACAAACACCCCAUAAAACUUGUAGUCCUCGAGGAUGCAUGCUAAGACAGUUGCAAAAGAAACUGAAACAAAAAUACAUAAGUGCAAAAAGAUGCUAAUCCAGUUAGUGUUUAUUCCAUAAUAUAUUUUUAAUUCAAUUUAAAAAUCAAAAUCACUUACUCUUUCGGAUUGUUCACGUUCUUUUUAAAACAUCGAACAGAAAAAUAGAUAUAGGG